rnacentral:ncRNA from 1 species
ACUGUAGCUUGAUAUUGGUCUGCGAGUUGUUAUACGUAGCGUAGUGAGUAGGAUUUGAAGCGUCUCUCUCGGGAGAUGUGGAUCCGCCGAUGAAACACUCAUUUUAACGAUUUGCAGCUCUAACUGGUGGUACCCUUGAAGGGAAUUGUUCCCUUGUUUAGGGUGCUUGUGGAGUGGCUUGCUUGUAUGCCGCCCUCUACCGCACCCUCCUUUCAAGGGUAUCAUCAAGACAGUGUCUGGUGGGCAGUUUAAGUGGGGUACUU